AUUGAACGCUGGCGGCAUGCCUAACACAUGCAAGUCGAACGGUAACGCGAGGAGCUUGCUCCUUGGCGACGAGUGGCGGACGGGUGAGUAAUACUUGGGAAUCUGCCCAGUAGUGGGGGACAACAUUCGGAAACGGAUGCUAAUACCGCAUACGCACUACGGUGAAAGUGGGGGAUCUUCGGACCUCACGCUAUUGGAUGAGCCCAAGUCGGAUUAGCUUGUUGGUGAGGUAAAGGCUCACCAAGGCGACGAUCCGUAGCUGGUCUGAGAGGACGAUCAGCCACACUGGGACUGAGACACGGCCCAGACUCCUACGGGAGGCAGCAGUGGGGAAUAUUGGACAAUGGGGGCAACCCUGAUCCAGCAAUGCCGCGUGUGUGAAGAAGGCCUGCGGGUUGUAAAGCACUUUCAGUAGAGAAGAAAAGCCUAGGGUUAAUACCCCUGAGUCUUGACGUAACCUACAGAAGAAGCACCGGCUAACUCCGUG
rnacentral:rRNA from 1 species